AAAGUGGCCUACGCCACCGCCAUGGACUGGUUCAUAGCUGUGUGCUAUGCCUUC
rfam:Pan troglodytes isolate Yerkes chimp pedigree #C0471 (Clint) chromosome 15, whole genome shotgun sequence.